AACGCGAAGAACCUUACCUACCCUUGACAUCCUAGGAAGACAGCAGAGAUGUUGUUGUGCCGAAAGGAACCUAGAGACAGGUGCUGCAUGGCUGUCGUCAGCUCGUGUUGUGAGAUGUUGGGUUAAGUCCCGUAACGAGCGCAACCCUUAUCCUUAGUUGCCAGCAUUAAGUUGGGGACUCUAAGGAGACUGCCGGUGAUGAACCGGAGGAAGGCGGGGACGACGUCAAGUCAUCAUGGCCUUUAUGGGUAGGGCUACACACGUGCUACAAUGGGCAGUACAGAGGGCGGCCAACCCGCGAGGGGGAGCUAAUCCCGAAAAGCUGUUCGUAGUCCGGAUCGGAGUCUGCAACUCGACUCCGUGAAGUCGGAAUCGCUAGUAAUCGCGAAUCAGAAUGUCGCGGUGAAUACGUUCCCGGGCCUUGUACACACCGAGACGUA
rnacentral:rRNA from 1 species